AUUGAACGCUGGCGGCAUGCCUUACACAUGCAAGUCGAACGGCAGCACGGGAGCAAUCCUGGUGGCGAGUGGCGAACGGGUGAGUAAUAUAUCGGAACGUGCCCAGUCGUGGGGAUAACGUAGCGAAAGCUACGCUAAUACCGCAUACGAUCUAUGGAUGAAAGCGGGGGAUCGCAAGACCUCGCGCGAUUGGAGCGGCCGAUAUCAGAUUAGGUAGUUGGUGAGGUAAAGGCUCACCAAGCCGACGAUCUGUAGCUGGUCUGAGAGGACGACCAGCCACACUGGGACUGAGACACGGCCCAGACUCCUACGGGAGGCAGCAGUGGGGAAUUUUGGGACAAUGGGCGCAAGCCUGAUCCAGCAAUGCCGCGUGCAGGAUGAAGGCCUCCGGGUUGUAAACUGACUUUUGUACGGAACGAAACGGUGAGCUCUAAUACAGUUUGCUAAUGACGGUACCGUAAGAAUAAGCACCGGCUAACUACGUACG
rnacentral:rRNA from 1 species